GCCUUCGUGGUGUAGUGACCAGCACACUCCAUGUCUAUUCGAGAGGUCCGUGGUUCGAGUCCCGGUGAAGGCG
rnacentral:tRNA from 1 species